UAGGGAAUAUUGGGCAAUGGGCGAAAGCCUGACCCAGCAACGCCGCGUGCACGAUGAAGGUCUUCGGAUCGUAAAGUGCUUUUCUGGGAGAUGAGAAAGGACAGUAUCUCAGGAAGAAGUCUCGGCUAACUACGUGCCAGCAGCCGCGGUAACACGUAGGAGGCAAGCGUUAUCCGGAUUUACUGGGCGUAAAGCGCGUGCAGGUGGUUCGGUAAGUUGGAUGUGAAAGCUCCUGGCUCAACUGGGAGAGGUCGUUCAAUACUACCGGACUUGAGAGCAGUAGAGGGAGGUGGAAUUCCCGGUGUAGUGGUGAAAUGCGUAGAUAUCGGGAGGAACACCAGUGGCGAAAGCGGCCUCCUGGACUGUUUCUGACACUCAGACGCGAAAGCUAGGGUAGCAAACGGGAUUAGAGACCCCGGUAGUCCUAGCUGUAAACGAUGUGAACUUGGCGUCGGCGGGUUCAAAGCCGUCGGUGCCGAAGCCAACGCGAUAAGUUCACCGCCUGGGGAGUACGGCCGCAAGGUUA
rnacentral:rRNA from 1 species